AGAGGAUACAAGUAGCGCUGUACUGGCACAAGUCACUCAAGCUGUUAACCAAUAUUUCCCUAACGUCCCUUUUACCGCUACAUCAGCCUUUGUGGCUACCUGGGACAGUGUGCCGUACAUCACUGGUGGAGGGGUGGUUACUUUCCAAGUGGUUUUAGUCUCCAAUGGUGACCGCUCUUUCAUCCUGAUCAACUAUGGUGACAUUGCACAAACAGGUCAAGUUUGGCUGGCUGGUUAUAACACAGUGGACUCUGUCAAUUCUUUCACAAUUCCAGCAGCCAGUGUCCCAGAACUCUCAUCCAGCAGUAAUAUCAAUGUGAAUGGUCGCUGGUCUUUCCAUGUUGAUGGUUCGCUAAACUGU